rnacentral:RNase_P_RNA from 1 species
GAAGCUGACCAGACAGUCGCCGCUUCGUCGUCGUCCUCCUUCGGGGGGAGACGGGCGGAGGGGAGGAAAGUCCGGGCUCCAUAGGGCAAGGUGCCAGGUAACGCCUGGGGGGUGUCACAGCCCACGACCAGUGCAACAGAGAGCAAACCGCCGAUGGCCCGCGUAAGCGGGAUCAGGUAAGGGUGAAAGGGUGCGGUAAGAGCGCACCGCGCGGCUGGUAACAGUCCGCGGCACGGUAAACUCCACCCGGAGCAAGGCCAAAUAGGGGUUCAUAAGGUACGGCC